GACGAACGCUGGCGGCGUGCUUAACACAUGCAAGUCGAACGGAAAGGCCCUGCUUUUGUGGGGUGCUCGAGUGGCGAACGGGUGAGUAACACGUGAGUAACCUGCCCUUGACUUUGGGAUAACUUCAGGAAACUGGGGCUAAUACCGGAUAGGAGCUCCUGCUGCAUGGUGGGGGUUGGAAAGUUUCGGCGGUUGGGGAUGGACUCGCGGCUUAUCGGCUUGUUGGUGGGGUAGUGGCUUACCAAGGCUUUGACGGGUAGCCGGCCUGAGAGGGUGACCGGCCCCAUUGGGACUGAGAUACGGCCCAGACUCCUACGGGAGGCAGCAGUGGGGAAUAUUGCACAAUGGGCGGAAGCCUGAUGCAGCAACGCCGCGUGCGGGAUGACGGCCUUCGGGUUGUAAACCGCUUUCGCCUGUGACGAAGCGUGAGUGACGGUAAUGGGUAAAGAAGCACCGGCUAACUACGUG
rnacentral:rRNA from 1 species